rnacentral:rRNA from 1 species
AGCGAACGCUGGCGGCAGGCUUAACACAUGCAAGUCGAACGGCCGUAGCAAUACGGCAGUGGCAGACGGGAGAGUAACACGUGGGAACGUACCCUUCGGUUCGGAACAACCCAGGGAAACUUGGGCUAAUACCGGAUACGUCCGUAAGGAGAAAGAUUUAUCGCCGAAGGAUCGGCCCGCGUCUGAUUAGCUAGUUGGUGAGGUAACGGCUCACCAAGGCGACGAUCAGUAGCUGGUCUGAGAGGAUGAUCAGCCUCACUGGGACUGAGACACGGCCCAGACUCCUACGGGAGGCAGCAGUGGGGAAUAUUGGACAAUGGGCGCAAGCCUGAUCCAGCCAUGCCGCGUGGGUGAUGAAGGCCUUAGGGUUGUAAAGCCCUUUCGGCGGGGAAGAUAAUGACGGUACCCGCAGAAGAAGCCCGGCUAACUUCGUGCCAGCCGCCGCGGUAAG